AUUAGAUACCCUGGUAGUCCACGCAGUAAACGAUGAAUACUAGCUGUUCGGGGCAAAUGAGCCUUGAGUGGCACAGCGAAAGCGUUAAGUAUUCCACCUGGGGAGUACGCCGGCAACGGUGAAACUCAAAGGAAUUGACGGGGGCCCGCACAAGCGGAGGAACAUGUGGUUUAAUUCGAUGAUACGCGAGGAACCUUACCCGGGCUCAAACGACGGACGGAUGUUUUUGAAAGGAGGCAGCCCUACGGGGCGUCCGUCGAGGUGCUGCAUGGUUGUCGUCAGCUCGUGCCGUGAGGUGUCGGCUUAAGUGCCAUAACGAGCGCAACCCCCAUCGCCAGUUACCAUCAAGUGAAGUUGGGGACUCUGGCGAGACUGCCGGCGCAAGCUGCGAGGAAGGCGGGGAUGACGUCAAAUCAGCACGGCCCUUGCGUCCGGGGCGACACACGUGUUACAAUGGCAGGUACAGCGGGAAGCCACCUGGCGACAGGGAGCGGAACCCGAAAGCCUGUCUCAGUUCGGAUUGGAGUCUGCAACCCGACUCCAUGAAGCUGGAUUCGCUAGUAAUCGCGCAUCAGCCACGGCGCGGUGAAUACGUUCCCGGGCCUUGUACACACCGCCCGUCAAGCCAUGGAAGCCGGGGGUGCCUGAAGUGCGCUGCCGCAAGGAGCGCCCUAGGGUAAAACCGGUGACUGGGGCUAAGUCGUAACAAGGUAAC
rnacentral:rRNA from 1 species